rnacentral:rRNA from 1 species
GACGAACGCUGGCGGCGUGCUUAACACAUGCAAGUCGAACGGGAUUUAGUAGACGGAAGCCUCGGUGGAAGAUUACUAAUGAGAGUGGCGAACGGGUGAGUAACGCGUGAGCAACCUGCCUAUGACAGUGGGAUAGCCUCGGGAAACCGGGAUUAAUACCGCAUAAAAUCGUAGAAACACAUGUUUUAACGGUCAAAGAUUUAUCGGUCAUAGAUGGGCUCGCGUCUGAUUAGCUAGUUGGUGAGAUAACAGCCCACCAAGGCGACGAUCAGUAGCCGGUCUGAGAGGAUGAACGGCCACAUUGGAACUGAGACACGGUCCAAACUCCUACGGGAGGCAGCAGUGGGGAAUAUUGCACAAUGGGGGAAACCCUGAUGCAGCGACGCCGCGUGAACGAAGAAGGUAUUCGUAUCGUAAAGUUCUGUCCUAUGGGAAGAUAAUGACAGUACCAUAGAAGAAAGCUCCGGCUAAAUACGUGCCAGCAGCCGCGGUAAUACGUAUGGAGCGAGCGUUGUCCGGAAUUAUUGGGCGUAAAGGGUACGCAGGCGGUUUAAUAAGUCGAAUGUUAAAGAUCGGGGCUCAACCCCGUAAAGCAUUGGAAACUGAUAAACUUGAGUAGUGGAGAGGAAAGUGGAAUUCCUAGUGUAGUGGUGAAAUACGUAGAUAUUAGGAGGAAUACCAGUAGCGAAGGCGACUUUCUGGACACAAACUGACGCUGAGGUACGAAAGCGUGGGGAGCAAACAGG